ACAAAAGUUUUGAAUUUUGUAUAUUCAGUUUUUUAAAGUAUAUGUAGUUAGAAUGAGUAUUCUCUAAUCUGGUGGUGCAGGAUGCUACUUUUUCAUUUUAUUGUUCGUAUCUUCUAUAUCCUUACUGAUUAUUUGUCUGCUAACCCAUCGAUAAUUGAAAAAAAUGUGUUAAAUCUUACAUUGUGACUAUGGGUUUAUUCUUACGUGAAGAUCUGCUUUAUCACAAUAAUACUUUUUGCCAUCAAGUCUACUUUGUCUGAUGUUAAUAUGGCUAAAACACAUUUCUUUUGCAAAGUAUUUCUUUCUUUCUCUCUCUCUUUCUCUUUUUCUUUCUUUUUUUUUGAGACAGGGUCUCGAUUGCCCAUUCUGGAGUGCAAUGGCAUGAUCAUAGCUCGCUGCAACCUCAAACUCCUGACCUCAAGUGAUCCUCCCGCCUCUGGGAUUACAGGCGUGAGCCACUGCAUCAGACAAUUUCUUUAUUUCAUUUCUGUGCCACAUAUUUUAGGGGCAUUGCUUAUGAACAGCACAGAACUGAAAUUAUUUUCGUCCAAUCCACAAGUCUUUUUUUUUUUUUUUAAGAUGGAGUCUUGCUUUUUCACCCAGGCUGGAGUGCUGUGGCAUGAUCUUGGCUCACUGCAAGCUCCGCCUCCCAGGUUCACGCCGUUCUCCUGCCUCAGCCUCCUGAGUAGCUGGGACUACAGGCGCCCGCUGCCACGCCUGGCUAAUUUUUUGUAUUUUUAGUAGAGACAGGGUUUCACCAUGUUUGCCAGGAUGGUCUCUAUCUCCUGACCUCGUGAUCAGCUGCCUUGGCCUCCCAAAGUGCUGGGAUUACAGGCGUGAACCACUGCACCCGGCCCAAUCCAUAAGUCUUUAUCUAUAAACUGAGAUGGAGUCCUGCUCUGUCGCUCAGGCUGAGUGCAGCAGUGCAAUCUCAGCUUACUGCAACCUUCGCCUCCUGGGUUCAAGCGAUUCUCAUGCCUCAGCCUCCCGAGUAGCUGGGAUUACAGGCACACACCACCAUGCCUGGCUAAUUUUUGUAUUUUUAGUAGAGAUGGGGUUUCACCAUGUUGGCCAGGCUGGUCUCGAACUCCUGACCUCAAGUGAUCUGCCCACCUCGGCCUCUCAAAGUGCUGGGAUUACAGGUGUGAGCCACCAUGCCCAGCCUAUAUGAAGGAUUUCUUAUAAUUUAUUCCAUGUAAUCUCAAAUUACAUGAAAGAAAAAGUCACAUUCUCAGAAGAAGAAAGGAUUUGUUUUGGGUGCAGUGGUCUCCCCACCAGGCUCCUUUUCAUACCCGGUGGCUGCAAUUACCUUCCAGAGCACAGCAGAACCAACCCAAGGCAAUCGGAGUCCUCUUGUCUACUUUUCAGACUCUUGAAUGGCUGGUCUUCAGCUCAUGGAAACCUGGCUUUAAAUGGCAGCCCCCAAAUUCAAGAGAAAACACCAACUGCAAGCAAUUCUAAAAGUCAGGCCAUUGGGCCCUUGGGACCCAGAAGGGGAGUGAAACUCCAGAGCAAAAGGAAAAUGUAAUCACUAUCCCACGCACCCUGGGAAUGGGCUGGACUCCUGACCUUCCCCAUUGCCCCCAGAGAGAGAGGCAGGCAGAGCUCUACAGCAAUGAGAGGCUUUCCUUCAGGCUUCAGCUUUACUGACCCCCAGUGACAUCUUAGCAGCCAGCUUCUCAUGCUGCAUCCAGUGCAAGAACAACUUUUCCAGCCUAGAGCAGAAGUUACAUGAAACCUACCAUUGACUGAGCUCUUAUUAUAAAUGUGCCCUGCACUGUGUUCACAACCAA